UACUCCCUCACUCAUUUGUUUUCAUAAUUGUCUUUAUAUUUUUCACAAUUUAUUUGCCAAAUAAUAACAAUAAAAAGAGUUGAAACAUUAAUUUAGUGAGUAAUCUUAAACUUUUUAGAUCAUGUUUAUGUACUUAUUUCAACUUUUUUUUUUGAAUUACUGGAAUAUAAUCAUAUUGAAAUAAUAUUAUCCUUCAUAUAAAUCAAAUUCGCCAAUCCUAUAAAUUAAAUUUCUAAUUUUGUUGUUGUGAAAAUAUGACAUAAAUAUUUGUCAGUUUUAGUGGUUCUUUGUUCUGGGAGUGCUUGUGAGGUCCUAAGUUUAACCUUUCGCUUGGGUAAAUUUUGAUAUUUUGAAUGAAUUAGGCCUUACUCUUGUUUAGUAGGCUUUUAUUUGAUUGUUGGGUAAAUUACAUUAGAAUAACUUAUUAGUCUAGUGGUUAAAUGGUGUGUUAUUAUGGUGGAGGUCUUGUGUUUAAAUCCCUAUGUAGGCAAGGGUAUUAUUUAUUUAUUUAUUUAUUUUGCUCAGACUUUGGGAUAGAGUUUUUUAAUAGGGGGAUUCAGUAGUGGAUGUGUGGUGGGAAUUAGGGGAGAAGAUUAAAAGAUUUUUAGGGUUAUUGGGAUUUUAUACUCUCUUUUUCAAAAAAAAAAAUUUGUCGUUUAUUCUUCUCCCUCUCCUCUUGUCUAAAUUCUUUGAGUUUUUCCAUCUUUCUCUUUUUUUUUCUUCUUCUUGAUUUUUCCCUAAUCCAUUUAUUUUCUUUCAUUUUCGCACGCAGUUAGUGCUCGCUUAGUUUCGGUAAGUGUUUCUCUUCGUUUCUGUUAUGAAUCUCUUAACAACUGAAGUGACAAUGUUUUUUCUCUGCGAUUUGGGCAUAGGGGGAGGCUUGGACUGUUGAAUUCAGUGUUCUCGCUUUAACAAUAAUUAAACGAAGGGUUAUCGUUGGUGGUAAGUUGGGUUUCGGUUCGUUUUUGGUUUUCAAUUCACUUGUAAAUCCAUUAAAUUGAUGUUGAGUGUCUUGAUUAUAGGCUUUGGAGUGCUCGGGGACUAUUUUAACAUCAAACAAAACCAGGUGUGUACCCAAAACGCAAAAAAAAAAGAAAAAGAUUCGCGAAAAUCCAAAAUUGCUUGUUGUUUGGACAGAAACAGUAGGCUAACUUUGAAAAAUUACCAUAAAUUGUGGAAAUCGAAUUAAAGAAUGAAAAAAAUAUGGAAUUAAAUUUUAAUGAGUCUAGUUUCUCAUAGAAGAAACGGUGUAAGUAAUGGAAUUGUAAAUCGUGAGAUAUAAUAAAUUUUAUGAGACAAGGUCAGAAUGAAUUCGAGUUCCCCUGUUCUGACUUUGGAAAAUAAUCAAAAAUUGGAGAAAAAUAAUUAAGGGUUAAAAUUUACAUGUUUAAAUUAUUAAUGAGUCUAUUUUAAAUAGAAAUAAAUGGUAACAUCAUCCAAAUUUUUUGCUAAGAGAUAAUUAAUUUUUCGCAAAGAAAGAUCGAAACUGUCAGACAACAGAACAGGGGUAAGAUUGAAGAUUUUACUGUACUUAUUGGCUGAACCAAAAAUUCUGAAAAUUUUAUGGUAGAACGGUAUUUUAGUCUAGUUUCAAAGGCAUCAAGCAGACCUUAAUUUGGAAUUCUGUAGCUCGAGAUAUAAAUAAUUUAGUAAUAGUGACUCAAGUAGACAGCUUUGAAGGAACAUAUAAGUAAAUGGUGAAAACAUAUAUGAAUAAUUAACUAGCAUGGGUUAGAUUAAAAAUGGAUCACGUGGCCAAGGCCAAUUUAGGCCGAGUGGGACACAUGGGCGUGUGAGCCCAUUUUUCGGAAAAGUUCUGUAAAGUUACACGGGUCGCCCAAGUUGAUUGUGGACCUACUGUCGGGUCAGUAAGCUUUACUUAGACCCCUAUGUAACAACCCGGUUUGACUCUAAUCAGAAUAGUGGUUUCGGGACCACAAAUCUAAAUUAGAAAAAUAUUUUAAUAUUAUUUUGUGUGUUUAUUUUGUAUGCAUUUAAUUGUGUGAAAUUUUCGUGUUUUAAUUUCGCCGUUUAAGUGUCCGAUUUAAUAAAAGGGCUUAAUCGCGUAAAAUGAAAAUUUAGGGGUUAAUUAUUAAAACAACUAAUUGUUGUCUUUAUAAUUUAGAGGUUUUAUUAUGCAAUUAGCCCACUAUGUAAGUUAGUGGGUGGCAAAGGACUAAUGUAACCUUAUUAUAUAUGUUUUAUAUAUAUAUUAGUAAAGGUUAAUAUAGUAAAAUAAUAAUAAGGUUAAUAUAUGUUUAAUAUAACAAAUCAAAAUGCCAUGUUCUUCAUCUUUUGGCCGAAUUGGAGAGAAAAUAAAAGGGGUUUAAAGCUUGUUUCAUUCGGCACUUUCAAGCUUUGAUUAAGGUAGGGAUUUUGUUCGGUUUUUGAUGAUUUUUAUGUUUUUAAGAUCGUUGCUUCGAUUACUAUUUGACCCAUGCUUGAAUUUUUGAUUUUGGUGAAUAUUUUGAGCUAUUCCAUUGAUGAAUGUUUGAGUUUUAUGAUGUUAGUAGGUGAAAUAUGAAAUAUAUUUGUUAGAUUAAUAUAUUUUGUAUUGGAAUUUUUAGUGAAAUUGAGUAAAUAGGGCUAAAUUGUGAAAUUAAAUUUUUGGGGGACUAAAGUGUGAAAUAAAUGCAAUGUGUGGACUUGUAUGAGAACCAUGAAUAUUCGGCCCUUGUGUGGUAUGGGCAAAUUUUGUGUAAAUUGUGUUUUAUGCAAUAAGGAGUAAAUUGCAAAAAAUGUAAAUAUUAGGGGCAAAAUAGUAAUUUGCCAAAUUAUGUGUUUUUGGAUUAAAUUGAAUGUGUUAAUAAAUAAAUUAUCUUAUUUUGAAUAUAUUUAGAUCGAGAACCAAAGAAAUCGGAGUUAGAUCGGGGAAAAGCCAAAUUAGUCGAGUAAUCGUCCGACUUCGAUUUUCCAUCGUCCGAGGUAAGUCUGUUAGCAAUUUAAUGUUAUUAACUCAACAUAUAUAUAUGUGUGUAUAUUUAUUAUAUAAUUUAUGAGCUAUAAUUAAAAGUAUAUAAAUUGAAUUUAGUUAAUAUAAGCAUUUAUAUAUGUAAAUAAGAAGUUCGAAUAAGUAUGUAUAUAUAAUUAUAAGUUUUUGGAGUUAAGUGAAAGUAUGGAUGUUAUAUUUGUAUUUAUAAUGUUCGAAUAUAUAUAUGUAUAUAUAUAUAAAUAAAUUUUUGAAUUUAGUUGAAUUGUGAAUGUUAUAAAAAUAUUAAUAGGGUUCGAAUAAGCAUGUAUAAGUUAUUGUAUUGAAAUUAGAUAUGAAGUUAUAUAUAUGAGCAUGAGGUUCGAUUGUGUAUGAAUAUAUAUAUAUAAGUUCAUGAGUUGAAUUAUAAGUAUAAAUUAUAUAUAAAUGUAUAUGAGGUGCAAAUAUGUAUGUAUACAUAUGUAUAAUUUUUGUAUUGAAUCAAAGGUAUGAAAUUAUUAGCUUAGAUUAUUUAUAAUAUGUUUGAAUGUAUGAUAUGUUUUCUUUGAAGUGAAUUUAAUGCCAUAAAAUGUGUAUGUAUCUAAGUAAUUCGAAUGUUAAAUGUAUAUUACUUCGGGUAUAUUAUAAAUUUAAUAGUAUGAUAUUAGUAGUAGGAUUCAAGUUAUAAAGUUAUAUACAUAAAUUUGUUAGGUUGAAUCAUGAAGAUAUUGAGCUGGAUUUGGUGUUUGAAUUUCAUGUACCUAUGUGGUUCAAAGAUAUAGGUUAUAAAUUUUGAGCUGAAUUUUUACGUAUGGAUUUAUAUACAUAUAUAGUUCGAAUAUGAAUUACAGCUUCUUUUAACUGAAAUUAUUGUUGUGAAUUAUAUAAGUAUGUUUUAAGUGCAUGAUUGUUACGUAGAAUUGAAUAUAAUUCAAUUCCAACGGAGAAACGACUAUCGGAUUUAUUGCCAGUGAAAUUAUUCAGACUAUACGUCUAGCAGGCUAAGUGCCGGUGAAUUGAAUCGGACUAUACGUCCAGCAGGCUAAGUGCCGGUGAACUAAAUCAGGAUACAAGCCUAGCAGGCUAAGUGCCGGUGAACUAAAUCAGGCUAUAGGCCUAGUAGGCUAAGUGCCGGUGAACGGAAUUAAACUAUAAGCCUAUCAGGUGAAGUGCCAGUGAAUCUGUUUAAAUUAAGUGAUUCUAUGCAUUCGGUAUAAAUAUAUAUGAUUUUGUUUAUAUGAAAUGGAUAAAUUUAUGAACAUUAUUUCAAGGUGGUUGAUGAGUAUAUAAUCAUUCGAAUUCUUGUGAAUAGUGAGUAUGUAUAUAUAUAUAUAUAUCGGUUAUCAUGAAAUUGUUGGAUAUAAAUAUAUGUGUGUAUAUAUGUAUGCAUUCGGCAUAUGUGGGUAUAAGUGUAUAUGUGCAUUCGGCACUUAUAGUUGAUAAGUAUAAAAAUUUUGCUCUUGAUAUAUGUAAUUGAACAAUUAUAUAUAAAUGGAUCCGAUGAAGUGCGAACAAUAAGUACUCUAGUAAUCAGUAUAUGCAGUUAAUGAUUAUGUUAGUAACUUGAUUAUAUGCAUAUAAUGUAUAUACCCUUGUCCAUUUAUGUAUAUUAGUUAAAUAUACAUUCUUUUAGAUUUAAACAAAAUGACUUAAUAUAGCAAUGAUUGGUUAGUAAAUAUAUUUGAUAUUUGUGAUUUCAAUAAAUUUACUUAAAGAAUUAUGUGAUUCUUUUAUAUGUAUUUUUAGAUAUGCUAUAGACUUACUAAGCUAUAAAAGCUUACUUUGAUUGUUUUUGUCCAUUUGUUUUUAUAGAUUUUGGAGACGUGUUACGAGCUCGGGGAUCAUCAGCAUAGUCUAUCACACUAUCGACUUCUUUUGGUAUUUUGUUAAAUAUUUAAACUUGAUCUUAUGGCAUGUAUAGGUUUGAGUACGAUGUUGGUUAAAUUUUGAUUGUAAAUUAUAAAUAGCUAUGAGAAAAUAAUUUAAUUUUCAUGUUUGUGAUCAGUUUGGUUUUAAAAAUGGUUGUGUUUGUUCGGUAAUGCCUCGUAAUCCUAAUUCAGCGACGGAUACAGGUUAGGGGUGUUACACCCUAUAUGUGUGAUCUGUCUGUCUGAUUUCCAUACCGAGCAUGACUUAUGAUAUCUGAAUGUAUGUACUAUUAAUUGCAUAAUGGCAUGACAUAUUUUGUAUGUUGUAUUGCAUCGGGGUGAGUUGAUAUUUGGAGGAAGUGUCUGAAAGGCUAUUAAGCCUGUUAUCUGGCAGCUCAACUGCAACCUUCUGAUUAUGUGCCACAUUUCGGUAUAGCAUGGUGUGUAGGGAUGGGUGGGUUGAUUUAAUCCCCACAUGGUCUGUAGGGUUGGACGGAGAUGAUGUGUAGAGACUGGUGGGUAGGAUUCUGAUUUACUGUAUCUGCAUUCUGUAUCUGAUAUGGGCCAAGGCCCUAAUGUAUUUCUAAGACUAUAUCUGAAUGGGUUAAGGCCCAAACUGAUUCUGUGAUGGGCAGAGUCCCCAUUCUGUAUCUAACUGAAUUCUGUUGAUUUUCUGUAUGCAUGUUUUCUGUGGGGAUUACACACUGAUUUUGCGAAACUCACCAUUUCUCUGUUUAAAUCUGUACAGGUAAUUCCCAAAUUUGACAGGUCGGUGCAACAAAGAACUCGACGGUGGCCACACGUAAAUUUUAGAUUGUUUUCCGUUAAUGCCUAGAAUUUAUUACUUAUUUAGAGUUUUUGAUGUAUCUUCUACUAGAAUAUAGACUGGUUGGCUUUAAAUUUGGGACAUUAUACUUUUUUUUAUGGAUUUUUUUUAAAACUGCAACUCCACAAAACACGAUUUUUUUCUAAAAACUAAGGUUUUUCGUAAAUAGAAACGAUUUUCUCUAAAUUAAUUAGUUACAAAAGCUUCCGCUAAG
rnacentral:lncRNA from 1 species